CUGAGAUGUCUUGGUGGUGUUUACCUUCAGCUAAGAAGCCAGGCAGCGUUACCACCACCACUCACCAGUGUUACCACCACCAAUCAUCAGUGUUACCACCACCACUCACCAGUGUUACCACCACCAAUCACCAGUGUUACCACCACCAAUCAUUAGUGUUACCACCACCACUCAAGUUUGCCUGGGCCUGCCAGCCAUCAUAGAAAACCUAUCAAGGUGGCAGACAAGGAUACAGAAAACAACAUUAAAGUGGAUGUGGCGAGGAGGGAGACUACGUUAUUCUGGGAGAGCCAUGAUCGCCGCCGCCACCAUCUUCCUCCAGCACACUCUCUCCAUCCUCUCUCUCCAGCGACCCCUGCGGCGCCUCCCCCACCUCUUCAUCUUUCUCCUCUUCUCUCUAACUUCCUGCAACAGUGGAGUAACAGCACAGCAGACAGAUGACGGAACGUACCCACAGUUGGGCACUAUACCAGUCACUUCCUUCAACUGUGUUGGUCAGGCUCCUGGCUACUACGCUGACCCUGACACCGGCUGCCAGGUACGGUCCGGUGGCCUGCCUCUUAAAACCACUCACUUCUACUGACCCCACUUGAAAGGACAGCUUGACCUGACACUUUCAGUUGGUUCUUGUUUUAAAGAACCACUUGACAACUUCACUUUGCGUCCAUUUGAAAGAACGACUCAAACCCAAAUUUUGCGGACAAUCGAAACAAGACCCUGUCAUUAUUGUUGUUGGUUUUAAAGGGGGUACAACGGAUUAUUCCGUAUGAUUACUGCUCCCGGAAUCUUGCUGUUGACCUGUCAUAAUCAAUGUCUUUUCAUUGAUUGCUCUGGGUUAUAUCAUUAACAGUGUCUUAUCAUUGAUAGGUUCUGGGUUUUAUGCGAAUAACUGAACACCGACAAAAACACAAUUUGCUGAAACAGAAGCCAAACUUACGUUAGCAGUGAGCAAAUGUGACUAAGAAUACUCGACCAAUUAUAAGCCAGGAGCAUGAAGAUUUGGCCAGUCAUUUGUGAUGAACUAGCCAAUGACAGUCUUUCAACCUGUGAAAAUCUGACCAAUAACAGCCCAUUAGCUUAUGAAGAUCUGACCAAUGACAACUCGGGAACUUGUGAAGGCCUGACCAAUGACAGCCUAAGAACUUGUGAAAAACUGACCAAUAACAGCCCAGUAAAUUAUGAAGGUCUGACCAAUAAUAACUCAAGAACUUGUAAAGGCCUGACCAAUGACAGUUCAAGAACUUUUGAAAAUCUGACCAAUAACAGCCCAGGAAUUCAUAAAGAUCUGACCAAUAAUGGCCUAAGAACUUAUGAAGAUAUGACUAAUAGCGCACGAAACUGAAGAACUGACCAAUGCCAUCACAAUAACAAGUGAAAAUCUAACCAGUAAAAGAUCAAAAAAGGACAUCUGCCCAAUAACAGCUCCGGUAUUUGCGAAACUGGCGACCAAGACACACAGGAGCAAGGACACAUAACGCAUGCAUCACCAUACGUUAAAGAGGAUACUUGCACUGUGUUAAGUAUUCUUUACGUAUAUUUUGUAUAUGUUGUAUGGUGCAUUGUUUCUUGUGUACACAUUGCAUUGCCUUUGUGAGGUUUAUGUCCCUUCUAAUAUGAAUGUGGCAUUUGUAGUGGUAGUAAUAACGGUGGUAGUGGUUGGGUGGGGGUAGUAUUAGAAGUAAUAGUAAUACAAGUUGUUUUAGUAGUAAUAGUUGUAGCAGUACUGGUAGUAGUAGUAGUAGUAGCAAUACUAGUGGUACUAAUUGUAGUAGUAGAAUAAGUAGCAGUAUUAGUAGUAUAUGUAGCAGUAGGAGUGGUGGUAAUAGGUGUAGUAGAAGCAGUAGUAAUCGUAGCAGUAGUAGCACUAUUAAGAGUAGUUCUAGUAGUAGUAGCAGCACCAGUAUAAAUUUUAGAAGCAGCAGCAGUAGUAGUAGUAGUAGUGGUGGUGCUAGCGUUAUUAUUGACACUAGAAGUAGUAGUAGUAGUAGUAGC